rnacentral:rRNA from 1 species
UACGAAGGGGGCUAGCGUUGUUCGGAAUUACUGGGCGUAAAGGGCGCGUAGGCGGCUUAUCAAGUCAGGCGUGAAAUUCCCGGGCUCAACCUGGGGGCUGCGCUUGAUACUGAUGAGCUUGAAUGCGGGAGAGGAUAGUGGAAUUCCCAGUGUAGAGGUGAAAUUCGUAGAUAUUGGGAAGAACACCGGUGGCGAAGGCGGCUAUCUGGCCCGUAAUUGACGCUGAGGCGCGAAAGCGUGGGGAGCAAACAGG